UCGUUCGCGUACCACGAGACACUUUCGCGCUCUUCAAACUUUGUGUCGAAAAAAGCCAAGGCAUUUGGCCGAAACAGACAACUGACGGCCCACCCGAAAUUUGUCGAAACGCGCUCAGCCAUUUAGACGCAUGCACGUCGCAUCGCUAUCAGUAAUCCAAUUUGUAUUUUAUUACAUGGUUAUUAGCAAUGAUGAUCGCACUUUUAUAACACUACGUCCAAUCCUUUUGCCAGUUGCAAAAAGAAUCUUGUUAUAAAAGAAACAAACACGAGAAGCGCGGUCCCAUUAUUUACCACAUUGAACAUAACAAGCGCUAUCGCGCUCUUCAGCUUUUUUCGAUAUGUAAU